CUGACUUUCUCAAUGCCUAUCAUGUGCUUGGGGAAUGCAUCAUAAGAAGCGACCAAUUUUUUUGUAGCUCUACUUAUGUGUUCUGGUGUGAAAGUUUGGAUGUCGGCAUGGCUAUGAGGAUAUGUGGUUUGAACCUGGAUUUUGGUAGUGUUGAUUAUCUACAAGAUUUUUUGGAUGUCGUGCAUUUGCCUUAGUUGCUUUUGUUAUACAUUAUAAUUGGAAUAGUGAAGAUAUGCUCUAACUGGUACGCAAAAGAGGUGUAAUGAAUUGAGACAAGACAGAUUCGGGUUUUAGCAAACAAAUUCUGUUAUGUUGUUUUUAGUUUAGUAGUUCUCCAUAAUCUUAAAUGCCUACAGCUAUAUAUAAAAAAAGGAAUGCAGCCAAGAUUUAAUUGUUAUGAAUUUCUAGAUUUAUGUAUAGAGAUGACUUUUCUUUAGAUAAAGAUAGAUGGUGCUUCAUUUAUGACUCAGUAGUAGUUUCAACCUCACAAUUGUUGUUCUAUUAGUAUACAAACUGAUUCAGUUAUUACUGAUAACAAGCACUCAAGCACAUGUUUCUUAAUUUUGUCAAAGAUUUGUAUUUGAUAUUUAUCAUGUUCUUAAAGAGAAGGCAAUGAAAAUAGCCUGAGCGUAGCUAAGAUGGGGUUUAAAUAAUUCAUUAUUCAUUUGUUACAGUAGGAGGUGAUUUGCACCCAGCUGCUCAAGUAACACGUUUUAUUUCAAGAAACCAGCUCUGUUGAAGGCCAAGUACUUUCAAGUUGCAGAGGCUGACGGAAUGUGUUUUUAAUCAAAAGAAGAUUGCAAAAUAGACAACCUAAGUUGUUACAAGUUCAUGUGCUACGCCAAUCCAUUGGAGAAUAUCUGGCCAACAGAGUGUAUCAUGUGUUGCAAAUUCUUGGAUCAUAGUUACUGCCAAAGAGGCCUAAGACAUCAAUUCUCUUAGUUGUGUAGGCUGAUCGUCAUUGUUGAUCCCAUGAAAGAAGAGUUUUUGUCCCUGGCAUUUUACAGAGCUAGCAAGGAAAUGCUUUGAUCAUAGGUGUUGCUCCUGCACCUAACUAUUUGGGCGAUGGUAUGUGGCUUAAGGCAAUUCAGACGGGUAUUGCCUUUUUUGCGGGGGAGAUGGGUAUUGCCUCAGGUAUGUAGUUUCCAUUUUGUUUGUUAGUAUUAGGAGUGUUAUACCUUUUAUAAUAGGAAACAACCUAGGAAUUGUAUAGUGAAUCUAGAUUGGAGGUUGGAUCUGAAAUAGUAUUCCCUAGAGGCCCAUAAAUGGAACUGGGCGUUGAAUUUAUGAACUAGAUGUUAUUUUCAUCAUUGUUGUUCUUUGGCAAUGUUUUGUUGUGGUUGUAUAGAGGAUACCAAAGACACUAGCAUUGGUAUUUGUAGGAAACAUUGUGUGUGUUGCAGCAAAGAGCGGAUAUAUAACACUAGAAGCUUUUGGGCCUGGCAUUUGCUUCUACCCAAAGACUGGUUAUGAUGGAGCACUACUAUAUUUGCUCGCUUCAUGUGUGCUCACUGGUUGCCUCCUGAUCUUGUGUCACCUUCUUCAUGCUUCUUUGUUUCUCUCUCGGUUUUGUUAACUCUCUUCCUUAUAUUACCGCCUUUGUUAGUUCAAUUUCCCUAGCGGUGGUAUUGGACAGGAGUUAACAAGUAGAAUGUAUUGAAAAGAAAGAGAUUUUGUUGGUGAUGCCCAUGAUUAAUGGUGAAAUCAUACCAAGGAAGAAAUUUGAGGAAGUGUGCGCAUCUUUCUUUGUUCCUUUGUUAUCUCUCAGUUUGCUGGUUAUUUCUCUUACUGCUAGCAUGUAUUAGAUGUCCAUCCGUUGUGCACAAUAUCAUGAUAUACAUUGGUGAAAUAAAAGGGUAAUGGGGAAAUUGGCUACAUGUUUUCUGUUUGAAUGAUAAGUUCUUACUUUCUUACAUUACAGAUGGCUGAAUGAAAGGUUCGGAAUAGGUAAGGUACAACCCAAAUGAUGUCGAGAAACAUAGAAGUUACUACUUGCAAAAUUUCCACCCAUUCUAUUGGAUAACGUGUGGGUAUCUACAGACCAAAUUGAAAUCUGCAGCAAACUGCCUCCAGCUUAAAAGU